rnacentral:rRNA from 1 species
AUGCAAGUCGAACGCAGUAGCAAUACUGAGUGGCAAACGGGUGAGUAUAAUGUGGGAAUCUGCCUUUUGGUUUGGAAUAACACGGGGAAACUUGUGCUAAUACCGAAUAAGCCUUUACGGGGAAAGUUUUAACGCCGAAAGAUGAGCCCGCACUUGAUUAGCUAGUUGGUAAGGUAAAAGCUUACCAAGGCAACGAUCAAUAGCUGUUCUUAGAGGAAGACCAGCCACAUUGGGACUGAGACACGGCCCAGACUCCUACGGGAGGCAGCAGUGGGGAAUCUUGCACAAUGGGGGAAACCCUGAUGCAGCGAUGCCGCGUGAGUGAAGAAGGCCCUUGGGUUGUAAAACUCUUUCGUCGGGGAAGAAAAUGACUGUACCCGAAUAAGAAGGUCCGGCUAACUUCGUGCCAGCAGCCGCGGUAAUACGAAGGGACCUAGCGUAGUUCGGAAUUACUGGGCUUAAAGAGCUCGUAGGUGGUUAAAAAAGUUGAUGGUGAAAUCCCAAGGCUUAACCUUGGAACUGCCAUCAAAACUUUUUAGCUAGAGUGUGAUAGAGGUAAGUGGAAUUUCUAGUGUAGAGGUGAAAUUCGUAGAUAUUAGAAAGAACACCAAAUGCGAAGGCAACUUACUGGGUCACUACUGACACUGAGGAGCGAAAGCAUGGGUAGCGAAGAGGAUUAGAUACCCUCGUAGUCCAUGCCGUAAACGAUGUGUGCUAGACGUUGGAAAUAUAUUUUUCAGUGUCGCAGCGAAAGCAUUAAGCACACCGCCUGGGGAGUACGACCGCAAGGUUAAAACUCAAAUGAAUUGACGGGGACCCGCACAAGCAGUGGAGCAUGUGGUUUAAUUCGAAGAUACGCGCAGAACCUUACCAACGCUUGACAUGUUCGUCGCGAAACUAAGAGAUUAGUUUCUUCAGUUCGGCUGGACGAAACACAGGUGCUGCAUGGCUGUCGUCAGCUCGUGUCGUGAGA